rnacentral:rRNA from 1 species
AUGGGGUGACUGCGUACCUUUUGUAUAAUGGGUCAGCGACUUAUAUUCUGUAGCAAGGUUAACCGUAUAGGGGAGCCGUAGGGAAACCGAGUCUUAACUGGGCGAAUGAGUUGCAGGGUAUAGACCCGAAACCCGGUGAUCUAUCCAUGGGCAGGUUGAAGGUUGGGUAACACUAACUGGAGGACCGAACCGACUAAUGUUGAAAAAUUAGCGGAUGACUUGUGGAUGGGGGUGAAAGGCCAAUCAAACCGGGAGAUAGCUGGUUCUCCCCGAAAGCUAUUUAGGUAGCGCCUCGUGAACUCAUCUUCGGGGGUAGAGCACUGUUUCGACUAGGGGGUCAUCCCGACUUACCAACUCGAUGCAAACUGCGAAUACCGAAGAAUGUUAUCACGGGAGACACACGGCGGGUGCUAACGUCCGUCGUGAAGAGGGAAACAACCCAGACCGCCAGCUAAGGUCCCAAAGUCAUGGUUAAGUGGGAAACGAAGUGGGAAGGCUCAGACAGCCAGGAUGUUGGCUUAGAAGCAGCCAUCAUUUAAAGAAAGCGUAAUAGCUCACUGGUCGAGUCGGCCCGCGCGGAAGAUGUAACGGGGCUAAACCAUGCACCGAAGCUGCGGCAGCGACACAAAGUGUUGUUGGGUAGGGGAGCGUUCUGUAAGCCUGCGAAGGUAUACUGUGAGGUAUGCUGGAGGUAUCAGAAGUGCGAAUGCUGACAUAAGUAACGAUAAUGCGGGUGAAAAACCCGCACGCCGGAAGACCAAGGGUUCCUGUCCAACGUUAAUCGGGGCAGGGUGAGUCGACCCCUAAGGCGAGGCUGAAAAGCGUAGUCGAUGGGAAACGGGUUAAUAUUCCCGUACUGGUGGUAACUGCGAUGGGGGAACGGAGAAGGCUAGGUUGUCCGGGCGACGGUCGUCCCGGUUCAAGCAGGUAGGCAGAGUGAUUAGGCAAAUCCGGUCACUUAAUGCUGAGAUGUGAUGACGAACCACCAAGGUGGUGAAGCAAUUGAUGCCCCGCUUCCAGGAAAAGCCUCUAAGCUUCAGGUUACCAACAAUCGUACCCCAAACCGACACAGGUGGUCAGGUAGAGAAUACUCAGGCGCUUGAGAGAACUCGGGUGAAGGAACUAGGCAAAAUGGUGCCGUAACUUCGGGAGAAGGCACGCUGGCGGUAGGUAAAGUCCCUUGCGGACGGCGCUGAAGCCAGUCGAAGAUACCAGCUGGCUGCAACUGUUUAUUAAAAACACAGCACUGUGCAAACACGAAAGUGGACGUAUACGGUGUGACGCCUGCCCGGUGCUGGAAGGUUAAUUGAUGGGGUCAGCCGUAAGGCGAAGCUCCUGAUCGAAGCCCCAGUAAACGGCGGCCGUAACUAUAACGGUCCUAAGGUAGCGAAAUUCCUUGUCGGGUAAGUUCCGACCUGCACGAAUGGCGUAAUGAUGGCCAGGCUGUCUCCACCCGAGACUCAGUGAAAUUGAACUCGCUGUGAAGAUGCAGUGUACCCGCGGCAAGACGGAAAGACCCCGUGAACCUUUACUAUAGCUUGACACUGAACAUUGAGCCUUGAUGUGUAGGAUAGGUGGGAGGCUUUGAAGUGUGGACGCCAGUCUGCAUGGAGCCAACCUUGAAAUACCACCCUUUAACGUUUGAUGUUCUAACCUAGGCCCAUAAACUGGGUCGGGGACCGUGUCUGGUGGGUAGUUUGACUGGGGCGGUCUCCUCCUAAAGAGUAACGGAGGAGCACGAAGGUUGGCUAAGCAUGGUCGGACAUCAUGCGGUUAGUGCAAAGGCAUAAGCCAGCUUGACUGCGAGAGUGACGGCUCGAGCAGGUACGAAAGUAGGUCUUAGUGAUCCGGUGGUUCUGAAUGGAAGGGCCAUCGCUCAACGGAUAAAAGGUACUCCGGGGAUAACAGGCUGAUACCGCCCAAGAGUUCAUAUCGACGGCGGUGUUUGGCACCUCGAUGUCGGCUCAUCACAUCCUGGGGCUGAAGUAGGUCCCAAGGGUAUGGCUGUUCGCCAUUUAAAGUGGUACGCGAGCUGGGUUUAGAACGUCGUGAGACAGUUCGGUCCCUAUCUGCCGUGGGCGUUGGAAGAUUGAGAGGGGUUGCUCCUAGUACGAGAGGACCGGAGUGAACGCACCACUGGUGUUCGGGUUGUCAUGCCAAUGGCAUUGCCCGGUAGCUAAGUGCGGAAGAGAUAACCGCUGAAAGCAUCUAAGCGGGAAACUUGCCUCGAGAUGAGUCUUCCCUGUC